rnacentral:rRNA from 1 species
GACGAACGCUGGCGGCGUGCUUAACACAUGCAAGUCGAACGAAGAGCGAUGGAAGCUUGCUUCUAUCAAUCUUAGUGGCGAACGGGUGAGUAACGCGUAAUCAACCUGCCCUUCAGAGGGGGACAACAGUUGGAAACGACUGCUAAUACCGCAUACGAUCUGACCUCGGCAUCGAGGAUAGAUGAAAGGUGGCCUCUAUUUAUAAGCUAUCACUGAAGGAGGGGAUUGCGUCUGAUUAGCUAGUUGGAGGGGUAACGGCCCACCAAGGCGAUGAUCAGUAGCCGGUCUGAGAGGAUGAACGGCCACAUUGGGACUGAGACACGGCCCAGACUCCUACGGGAGGCAGCAGUGGGGAAUCUUCCGCAAUGGACGAAAGUCUGACGGAGCAACGCCGCGUGAGUGAUGACGGCCUUCGGGUUGUAAAGCUCUGUUAAUCGGGACGAAAGGCCUUCUUGCGAAUAGUUAGAAGGAUUGACGGACUAGAAUAGAAAGCCACG